rnacentral:tRNA from 1 species
CGACGAGGAUGGGAUUCGAACCCACGCGGGCAAAGCCCAAUGGAUUAGCAAUCCAUAGCCUUAACCUCUCGGCCACCUCGUC